AAAGGAAUAGACGGGAACCCGCACAAGCAGUGGAGUAUGUGGUUUAAUUCGACGCAACGCGAAAAACCUUACCAGGAUUUGACAUCCACAGAAAGAGGCGUAAUGGCCUCUGUGCCCUUCGGGGAGCUGUGAGACAGGUGGUGCAUGGUUGUCGUCAGCUCGUGUCGUGAGAUGUUGGGUUAAGUCCCGCAACGAGCGCAACCCUUACUGUUAGUUGCUACGCAAGAGCACUCUAGCAGGACUGCCGUUGACAAAACGGAGGAAGGUGGGGACGACGUCAAAUCAUCAUGCCCUUUAUAUUCUGGGCUACACACGUACUACAAUGGCGCAAACAAAGGGAAGCGAACCCGCGAGGGGGAGCAAAUCUCAUAAAAGGCGUCCCAGUUCAGACUGCAGGCUGCAACCCGCCUGCACGAAGUUGGAAUUGCUAGUAAUCGCGAAUCAGCAUGUCGCGGUGAAUACGUUCCCGGGUUUUGUACACACCGCCCGU
rnacentral:rRNA from 1 species